UUCUUCAUUUGCGCUCUCCUCUCUACUUCAUCUCCAUUUUCCUUCUUCAAUCUGUCGGUUUGAGCUUCUUUUCUUCUUCUCCAUUUUAUUUUCUUCUUCUCUGCCGCGCAUCACCUCCUUCUUUCUCUUCAUUUUAUUUUCUUUUGAUUUGCUCUUUACUCGACAGAAGCUAGUUGUGCCGAGAUUCUUAGUAGCUUCUUCAGCUGGUCAGUCCAUAGGAGUCUUACUCUGUUUUGGCCCCAUUUUCUUGCUCGAUUUUCUCUCAUUUUUCCUCUUGUAUUUUUGGGUCCUAGAUUGUGGUUAAACCCUUGUCGUUUUUAUGUUUUUUUUUUUUUUUUUACCCAAAACCGUGUCUUGUUCUAGCUCUAUUUUCAUGCUCUGUUUUACCCUUGUUGUCCCACUUUUUUGCCCACAUAACCGUGAGCUUCAUUUUUCAGUUCUUGUGGAUUUUUGUUUCUAGUCAUGAAUACACUUCCAGCCGCUUUCUUCAAGAUUUAUUUCAGUAAAAAUCAGCCCCUUUAUUCCGAAAAUAUUCCUUCAAAGUUUCCUUCUUUUUGAAACCAUUUCAGUCUAAAAAAUUGUAACUUUUGUAAUUUUAUUUUUUAGCUAACUUUUGGGAGUUAAAUCGGGUGCAUGAUGUUUCAGAAAUAUUAACUUUAAAGUAUUGUAAGUUUUUUCAAAUGACCUUUCAUAUUUAAAUAUAUUUUUACACUAAUAAAUAUUUUGUAAAAUUAGUUGGUUGUGUCGGACUGAAUUUGAGGAGUUUGGGAUCAGUUGGAAGGAGAAUAAAGUUAUUUGUGUGAUUGGGUGAUGUUGAGAUUUGUUGGAUAUUUUUGUGUCUUGAUGUAUACAUUGUAUUGUGCACGUAUGUUCAUGUUUAUAAAAUGAAAAUUGGGUUUUCGCA